CUUACACAUGCAGUCGAACGGUAACAGGUCUUCGGACGCUGACGAGUGGCGAACGGGUGAGUAAUACAUCGGAACGUGCCCAGUCGUGGGGGAUAACUACUCGAAAGAGUAGCUAAUACCGCAUACGAUCUGAGGAUGAAAGCGGGGGACCUUCGGGCCUCGCGCGAUUGGAGCGGCCGAUGGCAGAUUAGGUAGUUGGUGGGAUAAAAGCUUACCAAGCCGACGAUCUGUAGCUGGUCUGAGAGGACGACCAGCCACACUGGGACUGAGACACGGCCCAGACUCCUACGGGAGGCAGCAGUGGGGAAUUUUGGACAAUGGGCGAAAGCCUGAUCCAGCAAUGCCGCGUGCAGGAUGAAGGCCUUCGGGUUGUAAACUGCUUUUGUACGGAACGAAAAAGCUUCUCCUAAUACGAGAGGCCCAUGACGGUACCGUAAGAAUAAGCACCGGCUAACUACGUGCCAGCAGCCGCGGUAAUACGUAGGGUGCGAGCGUUAAUCGGAAUUACUGGGCGUAAAGCGUGCGCAGGCGGUUAUGUAAGACAGAUGUGAAAUCCCCGGGCUCAACCUGGGAACUGCAUUUGUGACUGCAUGGCUAGAGUACGGUAGAGGGGGAUGGAAUUCCGCGUGUAGCAGUGAAAUGCGUAGAUAUGCGGAGGAACACCGAUGGCGAAGGCAAUCCCCUGGACCUGUACUGACGCUCAUGCACGAAAGCGUGGGGAGCAAACAGGAU
rnacentral:rRNA from 1 species